GUUGAAUUGUUUUCCUCCACAAAAUUCAUAUUUCAAUUCCUAACCCCCAGUACCUCAGAAUGUGAGCUUCGUCAGAAAUAGACUCAUUGCAGUUGUUAUUAGUUAAGAUGAGGUCAUAAUGAGGUAGCGUGGACCCCUAAUCUACUGUGACUGGUGUCAUUAUACAGAGGGCAAAUUCAGAGACUCAUUCAGGGAGAACAGGGAAUAUGAAGGCAGAGUUUGGGGUGAUACAGCAGAAGCCAAGGAAUGACAAAUCCUGGAAAGCAGCAUGGAACAGGUUUUCCCUCACAGCGCUUAGAAGGAACCAAUCCUGCCAACAACUUGAUCUUGGACUUCUAUCUUCUAGAACUGUGAGACCAUACAGUUCUAUUGUUUAAGCCACCCACUUUGUGGUACUUUGUUAUGACAACCCUAGCAAAUUAAUACUAGAGGGAGGACUAGAUGUUGGGGAAUCCAUCACCAUGACCACUGUGCCUACCAUUAGGUAGUGAAUGUUAAAUUAAUAUCUCUACUACAGUGUAUGUCUAAAAUGUGAGAAAAGCAGCAGCAUGAAAUAAAAGGUGCCCAGGCUUUGGAAUCCAGAGAUCUGGGUUUAAGCUAUGCCCCUGACUAGCUAUGUGACUUUGAACCCUUUAACUGUGAAGUCCACCACUGAGAUAUGAGAUGGGAUAUCCAUGAUCAAUUAUUAGCAUAAAAGAUUUCAAAGACAUUUCCCUCCCUCAGUCCACCAAUGAGAAUACCCACCAAUUUUCCACCUGCUUCAAUUCUAUCCCUACCUCAAUUCCUCUCUACCCCACCCCACACCAGGCAAGUUUGAAGUUGUUUCUGAAGAACUAAUUGAGUAGAGAAGGACAAGAAAGUAGAAAAGAAAGAAGAAAGAGAGGAAGAACUUAGACUUUAGGGAAGGAAGUCAGUCUGUAGAAUAAAGAUUUAAGAGAAGGAAGGGAGGAGAUGAGGGGAGAAAAUGUUGAGAUGGCUGGGAGUAGAGAGAAUUUUGAGGGCCUUUAGCCAGUGAAGGGCAUCAGUGAGAGUGGAGUAUACGAGAUUUAGGUAGAAGAGAAAAUAGAUUUUCAAGGAGAUUUGUUAGGGGUUAUGGAUUAGAUCUCCCUAUUACAUUUUCAAAAAUAGAGCAUGUUACAAAUAGAAUAUCAUUCCUCUGUGGCUAGUGGAUUACAGGGAACUCUUUUAUUUUAAUGAGAAACACAUAAACCAUUGACUUUGGGUCUUCCAAUUUCUCCAGUUAAUUUGCAGGUUCUCCCUCUGCCUGCCACCCCACCCAGCAAGGAGGAGAGGAAGUGUUGAGAAGGGAAGAGAUGAGUCCUGGCCCUGUCACUUCUUAGGGGUGUGCUUUUGAACAACCUGCUCACCAUGUAUGAACUUCACUCUUCUUGUUUAUAAAAUGAGGACAAUGACACCUGCAAGACUGUGAGGUUUAAAAACAAAAUCUGUGUUGAGAGGUAACUUGCCUCUUUUACUUACCAAUGAUUUCCUCAAUGCCUGGUGACUGGGGCUGGUUCAUACUAGACGAUCAAUAAAUGCUCCUUGAAUGAAUAGGUGGAUGAAAGAAAUGUCUGGCAUCUAUCACAGGUGCUGGCACUGAUAAGUGCUUGAUAAAUAGGCUGGCUGACUGUGAGUGAUGCUGACGGGCAAAGGACAGAGACACCAGGAAGGAGAACAGGACACGAAAGAUAACUGUCUCAGCCCUUGGGGAGUUUCUGACCCAGGAGGAUGGGAACAUCAAUUAUCAAUAGUUACAGAUCAUUAAAUAAUUGCAAGUGUGAGGCGCACUAUAAAGAGGAGGCUCAGAGUCCCCGCAUGCUCACACUCACACCUGGCCACAGACAGGUGACACCCCUGGCUUGCCCAGGCCAGCGGGUCUGCAAUGAGGCCAAGGACCUGGGCUCUUGAGAAGUUUUAAGUUUGAAAACAUUGCUUUUUAAGCUUAAAACAAUGAACCUUAAUAAAAGUAAACACUUCCAUUGAGCUUUGAAACACUUAAUAGGAGUUAAAAGUAAUUAGGCUAAUAAAAUAGUCUUUUGUUCCAAUUCAAUAAGUGCUUUCUUUUAUUAACUUCAUUGUCCUUUAAGAUUGGGAUUAAGGUUUGUCUGCAUUUGGAAAAGGUCACAUUUGCCCAAAGACUGAUGGGUGAUAACAGUAAGGCAGCCCCCUGCACAGGGAGAGGCCAGUAAGAGCCUGGGCUCCAUGAAACUGCAUUUCAACUCCAACCCUGAUGUCCUGCCUGUCUCCUGGGCAUGUUUAUCUUACACUGCUAAGCAUCAGUCUCAUUUGUACAGUGAGAAUAAUAUCACUGUGUAAGGUUGUAUUGAGAAUUAAGAGAGCUCACGUAUGCCUGUAAAGUACCUGGCAUACCGCAGGGUACAAGGAGGGCGUUGUUAGCUGUGAUGGCCCCUUUCCUUCUUCCCUUUACUUCAGAGGUGACCUCUCCAAAUCACAUUUAGUCCUUAAACCUCAGGUCAGGCGAUAGUGCUGAUGGGCAACCCUCCCACCCAGGUUUGGCUGCAAGUCACUCCUCUGGGCUCCUCUGGGCUCCUACAGCCUCCCGCAUGGUCCCUCUCAUGCAUCCUUGUGAUGGUCUGACCAGGAGCUUCUUGAGGACAGGGGUUGGGGCCACUUGCCUGCGUGCUUCUCCAUGCCCAUUUGCUAUCAGAUGCCUUCCCCUUUCUGCUCUGCACUGCGGGGAACUACAUUUUCCAGGCUCCCUGGGCAGUGGCAGGCUUCCGGCUAGUUUCUACCAAGGGGAGCGCUGAUGGGAGAUGAAAAAGUGGGAAAAAAGGAGAAGCCAGGAUGCUUCUCUGUCUCGUCUUCCUUUUUCUCUUUCAGGGGUUUUUGGUAGUGGCUGUGUCUCCCUGAUAGCUCCUCUCUAUGAUCCAGCCCUGCUUGGCAGCCCUGGCUUCUGGGUUCUGAAAACACCACGUUCCUCCUUGUGUCCCUCUAUCUAGUAAUUGGCAGCUUUCUGAUGUUGCUAAGUUCUGACUUGCUUCACCAUCUCCUAUUUGGCUCCUCAGCUUUUCCAUCUUCUGUGUAACCUGUUCCCCGUACUAAAUUUCCUCUGUGUGAAAUGCCUAGCAUGGUUUCUGUUUCCGUGGUGGGACUCAGACGGAUACAUUCUGUGUCCCUAAGCCUCUGACACAGCACCUGACCCAUGAUAGGAUCUCAGGAAGCUCUUUUUUGGCUGAGUACAUUUCCCAUUGUAAUAUUCCCCAAAGGUGGGAUUUUGUUCAUCUUUUUACAGGCUUUCCUC
rnacentral:lncRNA from 1 species